ACCUGGGUGGCUCAGUCGGUUGAGCGUCCGACUUCAGCUCAGGUCAUGAGCUCACAGUUCGUGGGUUCGAGCCCCAUGUCGGGCU
rfam:Felis catus isolate Cinnamon breed Abyssinian chromosome X, whole genome shotgun sequence.